GUUAACACUGUGUUGCAAAAUGCUCCAGCUGUGGCGAUGCUGAGCUCUUGCCUGCAGUUUUCACAAUGUUUAGAAACAGAGGAGUGACAAGUUUAGCCUUUAAGAAGUCAGUUACUGCCUUUAUAAUAUGGAACAAAUGGUCUUGCCCUAUGGACAACAUAAAACAGACCUCAAAGUUUGCACGUGGGCUGGUUCUGCACGGGAGUCAGCGAGAGCUGCAGGGAGCGGAGGAGUUCACCCACGAGGGAUUUCCUGCAGCCUACCCCAGCAAAGCUGCUGAGAAAUAAAUGAGACAUAAAUGAAAUAAAUGAGUGUCCGCUCCUGAGAGUAGGCA
rnacentral:lncRNA from 1 species